rnacentral:rRNA from 1 species
AGAGUUUAAAGGGCCGCGGUAUAUUGACCGUGCAAAGGUAGCAUAAUAGUUAGGUUUUUAAUUGAGAUCUUGUAUGAAUGGUUUGACAAAGAAAAAUCUGUCUCUGUAUUUGUAAUUUGAAUUUAACCUUUAAGUGAAAAGGCUUAAAUUACUUAAGGGGACGAUAAGACCCUAUAAAACAUUAUGUUGGGGCGACAAGGGUAAAAUUAAUAACUGCUCAUUAGAUUAAACAAAUAUAUUUGGAAUGAUCCUAAAUAAAGAUUAAAAGUUUAAGUUACUUUAGGGAUAACAGCGUUAUUUUUUUUGAGAGUUCUUAUCGAAAAAAGAGUUUGCGACCUCGAUGUUGAAUUAAAAUUUCUAUGCAAUUGCAGGAGUUGUAUAAGAAGGUCUGUUCGACCUUUAAAUUUUU